UGGUCCAAACCUUGAGCUGUCGUUCUGUGUGAUCCAGCUUUUGAUAGCUCACUUCUCUGAGCAUUCAGAAGGGUUGAUCCUAAUUGCAAAUUUUCAGGCGAACCACCAGGUCGCUGCAUUCACGGCUGGAUGAUCAGCAUCGAGGGGCACAUAAUCUUUCGUAUCCGGGCUAGCUGCUCUCUUUUCCACAUUUUAUAUAUUUAAUCUACAGUAUGACGAUGGUGCGGCAGCCACCCUGGAGUUCAUUCAAAGGCAGUUCAUCGGGAUCAAUCCUGAGUGGGGAACAAAGGCUGCACGGGGCAAAGGGAAGGUCAAAAAGAGAGCUUCUGUCAGCCCUCCGGUCUCAAGUCUCCUAAAAAGACAAAUGGACUUCGAAUGGGACUUCAUGUAGUCAGUGACACACACGCAGACAGAGACACACACACACACACACACACGCACACACACACACACAGACACACAUACACACAUACACACACACACACACACACACACACACACACACACACACACACAC